UACGGAGGGUGCAAGCGUUGUUCGGAUUCAUUGGGCGUAAAGGGCGCGUAGGUGGCGGGGCAAGUUUGGUGUGAAAUCCCGGGGCUCAACCCCGGAACUGCACUGAAUACUGCCUUGCUUGAGCACUGGAGAGGGAACUGGAAUUUACGGUGUAGCAGUGAAAUGCGUAGAUAUCGUAAGGAAGACCAGUGGCGAAGGCGAGUUCCUGGACAGUUGCUGACACUGAGGCACGAAGGCUAGGGGAGCAAACGGG
rnacentral:rRNA from 1 species